rnacentral:rRNA from 1 species
UACAGAGGUCUCAAGCGUUGUUCGGAUUCAUUGGGCGUAGAGGGUGCGUAGGCGGCGCGGUCAAGUCGGGUGUGAAAUCUUGGAGCUUAACUCCGAAACUGCAUUCGAUACUGCCGUGCUUGAGGACUGGAGAGGAGACUGGAAUUUACGGUGUAGCGGUGAAAUGCGUAGAUAUCGUAAGGAAGACCAGUGGCGAAGGCGGGUCUCUGGACAGUUCCUGACGCUGAGGCACGAAGGCCAGGGGAGCAAACGGG